GACGAACGCUGGCGGCGCGCCUAAUACAUGCAAGUAGAACGCUGAAGAGAGGAGCUUGCUCUUCUUGGAUGAGUUGCGAACGGGUGAGUAACGCGUAGGUAACCUGCCUGGUAGCGGGGGAUAACUAUUGGAAACGAUAGCUAAUACCGCAUAAUAGCAGUUAUUGCAUGAUAACUGUUUGAAAGGUGCAAAUGCAUCACUACCAGAUGGACCUGCGUUGUAUUAGCUAGUUGGUGGGGUAACGGCUCACCAAGGCGACGAUACAUAGCCGACCUGAGAGGGUGAUCGGCCACACUGGGACUGAGACACGGCCCAGACUCCUACGGGAGGCAGCAGUAGGGAAUCUUCGGCAAUGGACGGAAGUCUGACCGAGCAACGCCGCGUGAGUGAAGAAGGUUUUCGGAUCGUAAAGCUCUGUUGUAAGAGAAGAAACGAGUGUGAGAAGUGGAAAA
rnacentral:rRNA from 1 species